GGUUCCAUGGUGUAGCGGUUAUCACGUCUGCUUUACACGCAGAAGGUCUCCGGUUCGAUCCCGGAUGGGACCA
rnacentral:tRNA from 1 species